CCUUUACAUAGCCGAAAGUGAGUAAUGGGCGUUCCUUGUUAGUAAAAGGGCGUUUUCUGGUGCUAAAAUGGGCGUGGUCUAAAAUCUUUUGUUUUGCCCCCCCCCCCAGAGCGUAGUGGCUGGCGCCGCCAUUGGGCUAAGACCCUCCCGGGCCCGGGGGGGGGGGGUUACUUAGUAUAUUUUGCUGACAGGAUGUGCACGUCUUUCCGGGUAUCAUUUUCAGCAAUUUAUUCUAAGGCCGGGUAUCUGUUCAAAGGAUAUAAUCUAAUCAAGGGCGGAUUCAGGGUGUCGCAAGGAAGACCGUCAGAUUUUCAGAAUUUAGUUUUAGUCUUCAAUCAUUGAAAUAAUGCAAUCGUGUUUACCACAAUCUUUUAUUUCCCUCCUUACAGAUAAUACAUUUACCUCUCUUUACACAAUAAACACAGGACCGAACUUGGUCGAUCUCACACACAAUGCUACGAUUUAAUUCAAUAUAGAAGAAAUUCAAAGACCAUCCUAGACCGUAAACAGUAUGAUUUUUGAACAAGUCACCCGUGCCGCACAAAUAUGCAGGGCUUUUGGGAAAAUGUUUGACUGAACAAUUUGAAAUUUUCAGGGCCCCAGUCCCGUCGCCACCCUCAAAACUACUACAAGACAAGCCAUGCAAACCUCGUUGGUGAGGCAACUUCCGCUCCUAAAGAUAAGGGCGUUUCAUCAAUCAAAGUGUAUCAGUCUUGCUUAGCGGGACAAAUUGCAGUUAGAAAGUAAACGCUUACAAGACAUGAAAAUAGUAUUCUAGACCAAAAAUCAAGAUGACUUUCUUAAAAAAAGGCGAAAUUAUUCCUUUUAUUUAUAGUGGUUGCAAUAAUCGACAUUGUGAGCUUUAUGGUUUUUGACUUUGAAAUCAAACCUAGUUUCUCUGGUUCCGGGGGGGCUGGGCCCCUAUCAUGACUCUACCCUUGACCAUGAGGGAGGCCCCCUCGACCGCCUGCUGGGUAUUAUUUAUGUGCGACCGUCAACUUUUGUUCUCUAUCCGCCCCUGAAUCUUAUGCUGAUUUUCGUUUUUUUUCUAUUCAAUUAACAGCAAAGAGGCUGCCCGCCCAUUGUGUUGGUUGUGUUCUGGCAACCAUGGCAACUGGCACCAAAGCUUUUGUUUUCCUUUGUUCUUUUUUCCAGAAAUUCUAAAACCGGGUGUCAUUUUUAGCUUUUUUUCUAAAGCCGGUUCACCAAGACAAUCUUAGGAGUGCACACCCCCGUCGUUUUGGUAUCCAAGUGCCCCCCCCCCCCGGGGGCUAAGGCUUUAGCUUUCCCCAGCGGGCUCAGUCAGUUGGUCAAACAUAUAUCAUGUGUAAUCCUGAAAGUAGAAACGGGACCCUAAUCUCUGAUUCUGAGACCCCGUUCAUACUGCUCCGUAUUCAUAUGAAAGCUGAUAAAAAAGUAUCCGUUUGUGCCUUGCGUUCACACUGCUCCACCUUGAAAACGGAGACUUUUGAAAACGGAGACUUUUGAAAACGGAGGCUUUUGAAAAACGCUAACAACAACAACAACACAGCAAGAUACUUAGACCGCGCCAAUUUGAACAACUUUUCUUAACAUGGCUGAUUCACUCGAAGUUAGCAUACUACUCGGAGGAAUAUUAGUGGCAGUGAGGUGUUUGAAAAGUUUAUUAGCAGUGGCAAGUGCUGUAAACCAGUUUGUGGCGUUUUCCUUUUUAUCCAGAACGGAGCAAUGUGAACGCUUCAUCGUUUUCACUUUUCAUACCCUUUUCAAAUGUAUCCGGAACAGUGUGAACAGUCUGAACAUGUUCUGUCUGAACAGUCUGAACAAAAAUGAAAACGGAGCAAUCUGAACAUAGCCUGAGUUGCUUAAAAUGUACCCUUUUCUCUGACUUUGCCAAAUUUUGCAACCCUUUCCACUGAGAAUAUUCUCAAGCUCAAGCAAGUAAUUUUGAAACCAAUACGGGUAAGAACCAUUCUAUUUCUCAAACUUAUGUUUAAAGGCAUAUUAAAGAGCAGAAUUCACUAAUUUUGAUUUUAAUAAAAACCCCUUAAAUCAGACAGCAGUAAAACUAUUACUGCAACGAAUUGCUUAAUUCACAACAUUGUGUUUAAUAUUUUUUACAAUGGAAUGAAAAAGUUGUAUCAACUUCCAAAUACCCUGCAAUGAGUAAAAACUAGCAGAUCAUAAAAGCUAUAUAUUGUGCAGCACCAUUGCCACUAUUUUACAUAUAGUUUAAAAUGUCGAAAACUGCACCAUAUUUCUGAGUGCCAUCUACCUUCAAUUUGACAGAGAAUUCUAUUGAAAGGAGUAAUAACUACAGGGGAAAAACAUGAAAAAAAUCACAGAAUUAGCCCAUGGCCUAUUUGUGUGACAUAAAAAAAGGAAUUAUUACAAUGUUAAACCAUUCAUGUCAAUGUGCAAUCAACUGACAAAAUAUGUGGAAAAUGUAGCUUAUACAGUAUCAGUUUAUAACAUAACAUAAAUAUAUAAACAAUGUAUCAUCCAGCUAGUUUCCACCCAUUGUCUAGUUUGAUUAAAGAAAGGAUGAACCUAAGAAUUUGAGUUUGGCUUAAUCUAAACAGUUUUAUCAACAUUACUUUAGUCAAGUCAGAUAAUUUUGGAUAAAUAAAGAGAAGUUAAAGUAUCACUGAAAAUUUAUUGUGUCACUGCCAAAUAUUUAAAUAUUUGGCAGCCUACGCAGUUAUUACAUUUACCUCUUUGCAUCCAAAAAAUGUCCCUAUUAUCUACUUUAAGAUCCAUAGUCAAGCACAGGACAAUAAAUAUUAGUGGGCCUCAUUAUCGAUUACCACAUCUCUUCGAGGGUACAGGAAUAAAUUAAAUUUUGUUAAAAUGGUGAAAAGGCCUACAAUUUGAUUUUAUAUCUUUUAUGGUUUUAUGGUAUGCAUUGAGACGGAAUUGAAAGAAUGAACUUUGCAGGAAACCUUUUUAGCAGAUGUUCUGAAGUUUAAAGAAGAAUGCAGUCAAUUUUCGAUGAAUUUAAGCAACAACAGAGGCUUGUUCGUAUUGUCAAACCUUUCUCACUAGACUUGGUAUAGAGUGGUGUCCCCCUCUUGGUGCACUUUGUAAUAAUAAAGCUAAUAAAAAGACUGUUACCAAUGUAAAAAAGAAUAUAAACCAUUCACAGCUUUCUAAAUGUGUGCUUUAUAUUCUGUUACGAUCCAGGCUCAAUAUUCAAAACAGUUUCCUAGUAUUAGCAAGUUGAACAACUGAUUGUUGUCAUCGACAAAAUCUAGGCCCAUCAUCCUUGUAGUGCACCUAAAAGUUACAAUUUUUACAGACUUUGAAAAUUGAUAAGUUUCUGUGAAUAAUCAAUUCUUCAAAAACAAACCAAAUAGGUAUAAUAAAAUUUCCGUCAAUUAAUUCACAAAUUAAUGUUUUCGUUUAACUGCCCCCUCCCCCUUGUUUUUUACUCUGUUCAGAAACUGAAUGACUUUGACAAUGUGGAAUUCUAAAAGCCAAUCAAAAUACUCGUAGCAAGCAACUGGUGAACCAAGAGGGCGAUAUCCACCCAAUCAACAUUGAUCUCGUAAAACACUUCCUGAUUUGUUCUAACCUUUUAAAUCUCGCACAUCGUGUCAACACAGAAAGGCGGUUUUGAUAACCACAAGUAAACAAUUUUUAUUGUAACGAAGAAAAAAUGAGGAAAUUGAAACCAAAGUUUUGCGUAACCUAAAGACAAAACGAAGAAUUUAAGGAUACUUAGGAACUGGUUCAAGGUAAAAAGAACGAAAAUUAAAAGAUGAAGACAGCGUUACUGUUUGUCAUACUGUGUUCAGUUUACUUAAUUACCACAGCAUACACAAUAGGAAAUAUGUACGAUGCAGUCAGCGUCGAUAAAAAGUCUUCCUGCAGGCAGGGAUGCUGGGGCGACUUCAAAAGCUGCAUCAAUACGGACGAUAGUUUGUCUGGUCACCUAGUUUGCUUAGAGCAGAAGGACUAUUGCUACACUAAAUGCUGAACUACUUAAGAUGGAAAACAGGCUGGCCCGUUUUCAUUGCCGAAAUAUAGACAUGCUUAAAAUCUUUAAGAAAUUGAUAUAGAACAGAGUUUUGAUUGGAUAUCAUUUGACAAUCACUUGA